AUUCCUCAAAGAAUGAGGAAGAAUUAGAGUAACGUAAUGGAAGCGUAAAUGUAUUAGAUUAUGAAUCUGAUCCAUCAUUGGAUGUUUCUUCAUUAUGAAUGAAGAGAUAAACAAAUAUCUCUUUAUUAUGACUAAAGAGAUAUUUGGAUGGAAACAUUAAAGUAAUGACUUUAAUGUGUUCCAUUAUGAAUGCAAGAUAUAUUGCCAUAUAGAAGUUUACAACAAUGUUGUUUGGAUGGGAAAGUUCAUUUAUGAACUCUCUAUUCGGUUCCAACCAGAAAGUGUAUGACACUAAUGGGGCGAUAGCUCAAGCCUGGGAAUCAAGGUCUCAUCAAGAUCUGAACACAAAUGAGAGACUGAACCACAUGAUUGAGAAUCAUGUAUAAUGGUGACGUCGUUAUUCUCAACGUUGCUUCUAUGGAUAACAUAUAGAUAUCCAUUGACUAGGCCUACUACUCAGCCAUUUAUGAAAUGACUACAGAAGAGGUAUCAUACUGAUGACCAAGCUGAUUGGCUCUAGUGCAAGUGGAAGAUUGUUGGAAAUGUGCCCUAAAGCCAAUCAU
rnacentral:lncRNA from 1 species